AUGCAAUGUCCUAGAACCAGCACCAAGUCCUUCAAGCAGGCAUUCCUCAAGAACCUCCUCCUCAGCCUCCAGCUACAGGCACACCCGAACACGUCCUUUGGCGGCAGCACUAGCCUCCACGAGAGGAAGCGCGCCGUCAAGUCCUCCGUGGUCGUCGCUAUGGCGACUGCACACGGUGGUGGAGCGAGAUGGCCCAAGGCCAUCUUGGCUCCGGCGUCCAGAGCGUGCAAGGUACAGAUGUGCCGGAGGAUCGUGAGGAGGUGCCGCGGCUGCAAGAGGAGCUACGUUGCGGGGAGGCUCCUGAGGAGGAGGACCAUGGCGCUGAGGGAGGUGAUACCGGGAGGCCGGGACGCCACAGUCGACGAGGCCACCCUUCUCCGUGAGGCCAUGGACUACGCCGUUCACCUGCGUGCUCAGGUCGACGUGCUCCGCCAGCUCUCCGAAGCCGUGAAAAGAUCCAGCUCCAUGGCUCGGCUGUGA
rnacentral:rRNA from 1 species